CCCGUGCAAUGUUUGGGACAUACUUAACGCUGAAAAAUUGUUCACUGUUUAUCUGAAAUUCGAAUUUAACCUGGGGGGUCUGUAUUUUUCCUUUCUAAAUCUGGCAACCUGUGGGAACUGGUAGGCGCUAUUUCCAGUUUUGAGGACUUAAUUUUUUUCUUUUUUUCAUUAUGUGGACUGCCUUGUGGAUGCCUUCUGUACAGCUCAGCCAUCUCCACGCGUUGGCAUCCUGUUCAGGCCGGCAGCUGGAUGACCACCACAGUCCCAGCUCUCGCAUUCCCAUGGAGUGUUCCCCAGAGACCAUGCGCUGCCGCUUCUCUCUUUCACAGUCCAACAUCUCUGCAGAGUGAUAUGGAUCAUAGAAAACCCCCAACUCUGACCCGCCCACCAAAAUUACACUUUUGGAAUUGCCCUAUAGCCAUUUUUAUCCAACUGACUUCUGUGCUAAAUGGCCUGACUUGACCUAGUUCAGAUCCAACAAAAAUUCACAGAGAAUGUCUUCUACCUGAAGCUUUCUCUUCUCUUGGAUUUCAUGUAAUUCUUCUCUCCUGAUCAUGUCAAUCU